UACGUAGGGUGCAAGCGUUGUCCGGAAUUAUUGGGCGUAAAGAGCGUGUAGGCGGUCCGAUUAGUCCGCUGUGAAAGUCCAGGGCUCAACCCUGGAAUGCCGGUGGAUACUGUCGGGCUAGAGUCCGGAAGGGGCGAGUGGAAUUCCUGGUGUAGCGGUGAAAUGCGCAGAUAUCAGGAGGAACACCAAUGGCGAAGGCAGCUCGCUGGGACGUGACUGACGCUGAGACGCGAAAGCGUGGGGAGCAAACAGG
rnacentral:rRNA from 1 species